rnacentral:rRNA from 2 species
CGGNCCCAUACUNCUACGGGAGGCAGCAGUAGGGAAUNUNCCACAAUGGGCGCAANNNGAUGGAGCAACACCGCGUGAGUGAAGAAGGGUUUCGGCUCGUAAAGCUCUGUUGUUAAAGAAGAACACGUAUGAGAGUAACUGUUCAUACGUUGACGGUAUUUAACCAGAAAGUCACGGCUAANUACGUGCCAGCAGCCGCGGUAAUACGUAGGUGGCAAGCGUUAUCCGGAUUUAUUGGGCGUAAAGAGAGUGCAGGCGGUUUUCUAAGUCUGAUGUGAAAGCNUUCGGCUUAACCGGAGAAGUGCAUCGGAAACUGGAUAACUUGAGUGCAGAAGAGGGUAGUGGAACUCCAUGUGUAGCGGUGGAAUGCGUAGAUAUAUGGAAGAACACCAGUGGCGAAGGCGGCUACCUGGUCUGCAACUGACGCUGAGACUCGAAAGCAUGGGUAGCGAACAGGAUUAGAUACCCUGGUAGUCCAUGCCGUAAACGAUGAGUGCUAGGUGUUGGAGGGUUUCCGCCCUUCAGUGCCGGAGCUAACGCAUUAAGCACUCCGCCUGGGGAGUACGACCGCAAGGUUGAAACUCAAAGGAAUUGACGGGGGCCCGCACAAGCGGUGGAGCAUGUGGUUUAAUUCGAAGCUACGCGAAGAACCUUACCAGGUCUUGACAUCUUGCGCCAACCCUAGAGAUAGGGCGUUUCCUUCGGGAACGCAAUGACAGGUGGUGCAUGGUCGUCGUCAGCUCGUGUCGUGAGAUGUUGGGUUAAGUCCCGCAACGAGCGCAACCCUUGUUACUAGUUGCCAGCAUUAAGUUGGGCACUCUAGUGAGACUGCCGGUGACAAACCGGAGGAAGGUGGGGACGACGUCAGAUCAUCAUGCCCCUUAUGACCUGGGCUACACACGUGCUACAAUGGACGGUACAACGAGUCGCGAACUCGCGAGGGCAAGCAAAUCUCUUAAAACCGUUCUCAGUUCGGACUGCAGGCUGCAACUCGCCUGCACGAAGUCGGAAUCGCUAGUANUCGCGGAUCAGCA